AUUGAACGCUGGCGGCAGGCCUAACACAUGCAAGUCGAACGAGUGGCGGACGGGUGAGUAAUGUCUGGGAAACUGCCUGAUGGAGGGGGAUAACUACUGGAAACGGUAGCUAAUACCGCAUACCAUCGGAUGUGCCCAGAUGGGAUUAGCUAGUAGGUGGGGUAACGGCUCACCUAGGCGACGAUCCCUAGCUGGUCUGAGAGGAUGACCAGCCACAAGGGAGCUGAGACACGGUCCAGACUCCUACGGGAGGCAGCAGUGGGGAAUAUUGCACAAGGGGCGCAAGCUUGAUGCAGCCAUGCCGCUUGGAAGAAGAAGGCCUUCGAGUUGUAAAGUACUUUCAGCGGGGAGGCGUUACCCGCAGAAGAAGCACCGGCUAACUCCGUGCCAGCAGCCGCGGUAAUAC
rnacentral:rRNA from 1 species